AAUCAACGCUGGCGGCGCGCUUAACACAUGCAAGUCGAACGAGAAAGUCCGCAAGGAUGAGUACAGUGGCGUACGGGUGAGUAACACGUGGAUGAUCUACCUUCAAGUGGGGGAUAACCCUGGGAAACCGGGGCUAAUACCGCAUAAGCCUGAGAAGGGAAAGCCGCAAGGCGCUAGAAGAGGAGUCCGCGGCCGAUUAGCUAGUUGGUGGGGUAAAGGCUCACCAAGGCGAAGAUCGGUAGCCGGCCUGAGAGGGCACACGGCCACACUGGCACUG
rnacentral:rRNA from 1 species